UUGCUUCACUGGCAGGGAAGAUACCAUGAUCAAGAAGGUGGUUCACCCAUGGCGAGGCCCAGCCAUUGCACUCUGGAUGUUUUUUUUGUUGUUAACUAGGCAAGUCCGUUAAGAACAAAUUCUUAUUUUACCAGGGUCUGUAGUGAUGCCUCUAG
rnacentral:snRNA from 1 species